UGUUGGAUUUGGUUAACUCGAAAGGCU
rnacentral:piRNA from 1 species